rnacentral:rRNA from 1 species
UACGGAGGGUGCAAGCGUUAAUCGGAAUUACUGGGCGUAAAGCGCGCGCAGGUGGCUAUCCAAGUCAGUGGUGAAAGCCCGGAGCUCAACUCCGGAACUGCCAUUGAAACUGUUUAGCUUGAGGACGAGAGAGGUGAGUGGAAUUCCCAGUGUAGAGGUGAAAUUCGUAGAUAUUGGGAAGAACACCGGUGGCGAAGGCGGCUCACUGGCUCGUUUCUGACGCUCAGGCGCGACAGCGUGGGGAUCAAACAGG